ACAUACUUUGUUGUUAUCAAAGUGAUUGUCAUUUUGCGUUCCAAAGCUUGCGACGAAUACCUGCAUCGUAUGUUGAUGUAAACAGUUCAUUUCUGGCUGGUAAAAUGUCCGCCACGCUGAUAACUCAAAUCCGAAAAGAUCAUGACGAUAUUCACAUCAAAACAUACACCAGGUGGUUAAACUGGAAACUCGGUAAGGCAGGACCUGUUGUCAAGAAUUUGAUCGAAGAUUUACAAGAUGGUCGUGUCUUAAUAUCACUUGCCCGUGUUCUGUUGAACGUAAAAAUU